GUGUGUGUAUUUAUUCCGAACAUUAGAAAGUAUAAGAAAAAAACACACAUGUAGUAACUAUGUGUUACACACACAUGUAUUAAUAUUACAGGAAAGAGCAAAAGGUCAGUUCCUUGCGGCCGUUUCUGUCAAGAGGCAAUGAGAUCCUCCAUGCAUUUGGGUAUGAAUAAUUGUGUACACUACCAGCAGUAUAUUGGAUAGGCACUAUCCCUUAAUUGGUUUCACAACCUCUAACUCACGCAGAAAUAUAAACACACACACAAACACACAAAGGAGGUGCUGCAAAGGUUUUGGCUUUAAGUGUAUAGACAAAGGCGUAGUUGCAGGCUCAACCUUCCAAAUUCUUCUGUAAGGCUUAGAAAAACUGAAGGACCCCUGCAAUAAGUGUGUGAAUCUGAGAGGGGAAUAUGUUGAAUAAAAUCAUAAUUGACUGAUCCUCUUAUAUUUUCUUUCAC